rnacentral:lncRNA from 1 species
UGGUUUUUUGCAUUCAAAGGGGAUAUCAGUCAGAAAGGUUUUAAGGCUGUCUAUGAAAUCCGCAUAGGUGGUAACUUGUGUUUCACAGUCCAUUUCCUGAAGGGAAUGGAAAAAAAAUAAACAGCUCUUGAGUCCAGGGCUUCUUUGCUGUCUCCCCAGAACCUAGAAACUAUGCUAAGCCCAUAUAGUCAGACUGCUACAUCCUAGCAAGGGUGCUGCCAAGUCCCUCAUAGUCCCCCGAGGAAACAUCAGUCUCCAUCGUCCUGGAUGCAGAACUGCAGACUCAGACCAGUCUUCAGACCUGGCCACUGUGCUUAAAACUAGUUUCCUUCUCUGUGCCCAACCUUCAUCUUCAUGAGGGGAUGGAGACCUCUGCAGGUCACUGCGGAGAUGCCUGGAGACACCCAGAGGUGCUUCUUAAAUAUUAGCCAAGAGCUAAGUGUAUGAAGGUUUUCUGCUUGGGUUUUCAGUUUGGACUAGUUGGGAGGCCUCCAUUCCAGCCUCAGUUUCCCCAAUGGUCAAAGAAAGA